UACGGAGGAUCCAAGCGUUAUCCGGAUUCAUUGGGUUUAAAGGGUGCGUAGGCGGAAUGAUAAGUCAGCGGUGAAAUCCCUCGGCUUAACCGAGGAACUGCCGUUGAUACUGUCAAUCUUGAGUACAUUUGAUGUGGGCGGAAUGUGUCAUGUAGCGGUGAAAUGCUUAGAUAUGACACAGAACACCGAUUGCGAAGGCAGCUCACAAAACUGUAACUGACGCUGAAGGCACGAAAGCGUGGGUAUCAAACAGG
rnacentral:rRNA from 1 species